ACUAUGAUUAAUUUAGGGUUUG
rnacentral:snRNA from 1 species